rnacentral:rRNA from 1 species
UUUAAGCGUGUAGGCUGGUUUUCCAGGCAAAUCCGGAAAAUCAAGGCUGAGGCGUGAUGACGAGGCACUACGGUGCUGAAGCGACAAAUGCCCUGCUUCCAGGAAAAGCCUCUAAGCAUCAGGUAACAUCAAAUCGUACCCCAAACCGACACAGGUGGUCAGGUAGAGAAUACCAAGGCGCUUGAGAGAACUCGGGUGAAGGAACUAGGCAAAAUGGUGCCGUAACUUCGGGAGAAGGCACGCUGAUAUGUAGGUGAAGCGACUUGCUCGUGGAGCUGAAAUCAGUCGAAGAUACCAGCUGGCUGCAACUGUUUAUUAAAAACACAGCACUGUGCAAACACGAAAGUGGACGUAUACGGUGUGACGCCUGCCCGGUGCCGGAAGGUUAAUUGAUGGGGUUAGCGGUAACGCGAAGCUCUUGAUCGAAGCCCCGGUAAACGGCGGCCGUAACUAUAACGGUCCUAAGGUAGCGAAAUUCCUUGUCGGGUAAGUUCCGACCUGCACGAAUGGCGUAAUGAUGGCCAGGCUGUCUCCACCCGAGACUCAGUGAAAUUGAACUCGCUGUGAAGAUGCAGUGUACCCGCGGCAAGACGGAAAGACCCCGUGAACCUUUACUAUAGCUUGACACUGAACAUUGAGCCUUGAUGUGUAGGAUAGGUGGGAGGCUUUGAAGUGUGGACGCCAGUCUGCAUGGAGCCGACCUUGAAAUACCACCCUUUAAUGUUUGAUGUUCUAACGUGGGCCCCUUACCGGGGUUGCGGACAGUGUCUGGUGGGUAGUUUGACUGGGGCGGUCUCCUCCUAAAGAGUAACGGAGGAGCACGAAGGUUGGCUAAUCCUGGUCGGACAUCAGGAGGUUAGUGCAAUGGCAUAAGCCAGCUUGACUGCGAGCGUGACGGCGCGAGCAGGUGCGAAAGCAGGUCAUAGUGAUCCGGUGGUUCUGAAUGGAAGGGCCAUCGCUCAACGGAUAAAAGGUACUCCGGGGAUAACAGGCUGAUACCGCCCAAGAGUUCAUAUCGACGGCGGUGUUUGGCACCUCGAUGUCGGCUCAUCACAUCCUGGGGCUGAAGUAGGUCCCAAGGGUAUGGCUGUUCGCCAUUUAAAGUGGUACGCGAGCUGGGUUUAGAACGUCGUGAGACAGUUCGGUCCCUAUCUGCCGUGGGCGCUGGAGAACUGAGGGGGGCUGCUCCUAGUACGAGAGGACCGGAGUGGACGCAUCACUGGUGUUCGGGUUGUCAUGCCAAUGGCACUGCCCGGUAGCUAAAUGCGGAAGAGAUAAGUGCUGAAAGCAUCUAAGCACGAAACUUGCCCCGAGAUGAGUUCUCCCUGACUCCUUGAGAGUCCUGAAGGAACGUUGAAGACGACGACGUUGAUAGGCCGGGUGUGUAAGCGCAGCGAUGCGUUGAGCUAACCGGUACUAAUGAACCGUGAGGCUUAACCUU